CCCAUUCUCAAAUCUCAAGCUGCAUGCUGGGAGAACCACUACUCUCUUCAAAGCUGUCAGACAGGGACAUUUAAGUCUGCAGAGGUUACUGCUGCCUUUUGUUUGUCUGCACCCUGCCUCCAGAGGUGGAGCCUACAGAGGCAGGCAGGCCUCCUUGAGCUGUGGUGGGCUCCACCCAGUUCAAGCUUCCCGGCCACUUUGUUUACCUACUCAAGCCUCAGCAAUGGCAGGCCCCCCUCCCUCAGCCUCGCUGCCACCUUGCAGUUUGAUCU
rnacentral:lncRNA from 1 species